rnacentral:rRNA from 1 species
GACGAACGCUGGCGGCGUGCUUAACACAUGCAAGUCGAACGGAAAGGCCCUGCUUUUGUGGGGUGCUCGAGUGGCGAACGGGUGAUUAACACGUGAGUAACCUGCCCUUGCCUUUGGGAUAACUUCAUGAAACUGGGGCUAAUACCGGAUAGGAGCUCCUGCUGCAUGGUGGGGGUUGGAAAGUUUCGUCGGUUGGGGAUGGACUCGCGGCUUAUCAGCUUGUUGGUGGGGUAGUUGCUUACCAAGCCAUUGACGGGUAGCCGGCCUGAGAGGGUGACCGGCCACAUUGGGACUGAGAUACGGCCCAGACUCCUACGGGAGGCAGAAGUGGGGAAUAUUGUACAAUGGGCGGAAGCAUGAUGCAGCAAAGCCGCGUGCGGGAUGAGGGCCUUCGGGUUGUAAACCGCUUUCGCCUGUGACGAAGCGAGAGUGACGGUAAUGGGUAAAGAAGCACCGGCUAACUACGUG